AUGUCGUCGUCCGGCGGGGGUGGGGCUGGGCAGCAGUUCCGGUACACGCAGACGCCGUCGAAGGUGCUGCACCUGCGGAACCUGCCCUGGGAGUGCACGGAGGAGGAGCUCGUUGAGCUCUGCAAGCCCUUCGGCCGCAUCGUCAACACCAAAUCCGGCGUCGGCGCCAACCGCAAUCAGGCCUUCGUCGAGUUUACCGAUGUUAAUCAAGCCAUUUCAAUGGUUUCUUAUUUUGCAUCAUCUUCAGAACCAGCACAAAUUCGAGGCAAAACUGUUUACAUCCAGUAUUCAAAUAGACAAGAAAUAAUUAACAAUAAGAGCCCUGGUGAGACUGCUGGAAAUGUGUUGCUUGUUACCAUAGAGGGUGUUCAAGCUAGUGACGUCACCAUCGAUGUAAUCCAUUUGGUUUUCUCUGCUUUUGGAUUUGUUCACAAAAUAGCCACUUUUGAGAAGGCUGCAGGUUUUCAGGCACUGAUCCAGUAUACUGAUGCACCCACUGCAUCAGCAGCAAGAGAAGCCUUAGAUGGAAGAAGCAUCCCAAGAUACUUGCUUCCGGAUCAUGUAGUAUCCUGCCACUUGCGGAUUUCUUUCUCUGCGCAUAAGGAUUUGAACAUCAAGUUCCAAUCACACCGCAGCAGGGAUUACACUAACCCCUACCUUCCAGUCAACUCCUCUGCUAUAGAUAGUACAUUGCAGCCUGCUGUUGGUGCUGAUGGAAGGAGGGUGGAGGCUGAGGGUAAUGUUCUUCUUGCAUCAAUUGAGAAUAUGCAGUAUGCUGUAUCAGUGGAUGUUCUCCAUACUGUGUUCUCUGCAUUCGGUACAGUCCAGAAAAUUGCUAUUUUUGAGAAGAACGGUGGAACACAAGCUCUAAUUCAGUACCCUGAUGCAAGUACUGCUACAGUUGCGAAGGAAGCAUUGGAAGGGCAUUGCAUCUACGAUGGUGGCUACUGUAAGAUUCACCUGUCAUACUCUCGUCAUACUGAUCUCAAUGUAAAGGCUCAUAGUGACAAGAGCAAGGAUUACACAAUACCAGAAGGAGCACACCAAGCAGCACCACAGCCAGCCGGUGUACCACCUACAACUGCAGGAUGGCAAGGUAAUUCUCAAGCAGCUGGACCAUACGGACCACCAGGUGUCGCUGCUCAAAACCAGAACACCAACGGACAAAUGCCGAAUUGGAAUCCCGGCAACUCAGGGUACCCACCAGCUACAGGCCAGUAUCCAGGCCAUAUGUACUCAGCUCCACCACAGCAGUACACGGCGACAUCAGGGGGCUUCUCCGCCCCUCCACCGCCGCCUCAUGAGAUGCAUCCUUCACACCAGAUGCCACCUGCUCAUCAUGGAAAUCAGCAGAGACCGGCAAGUGGUGCCCCUGGAACUGGCCAACCACCUCCGUAUUACCACCAUUAA
rnacentral:rRNA from 1 species